AGCGCUGUAGUUUAAUUUAAAAUAUUAAAUUUACACUCUUUUGAUAUGUUUUACAUUGGCGUUA
rnacentral:tRNA from 1 species